AAUAAGUUAUUUGGUCUGGUCUUAUAGCUUCUUUUUCUUCUUCCAGCUCUGGUUUGUUUUGAUUCUGGAAUUCUCCAACAGAAAUAUAUUGAAAAGGACUAAAUCAAUUCUUGCAGUUCUAAAACCAUGGCCCAUGUAAGUUAAUGUUUUUCUUUCCUUUUUGAAACAUCAGAUUUCCAUAUUAUUUCUAGAGUGAUCAUUCUAGAUCAAUUUCUAGAUCAUCUGUACAUAUUCAUUUCUUUUUCUGAAUCUUCUGAUUUAACAGAACUCCAUCCAAGAACCUGCUCCAAUUUCUCUCAUUCCUGAGAGGACUGGGUCAGAGAACCCACCUAUGCCUUCCCUUCUUCACUAGUGUUGACCAUCACCCAUCUUCAGAACCUUCUGCCAAAAGCAAAAGUGAAAUGCCUUGAGAAAAUAUAGACUUUAUCUGCAGAAUGUCCCUCUUUUAACAUUUUCCAAUGGAAUGACUUUUGAUUUUAAUUCUUAAACUUCAGAAAAAAUGUAUUUCCCUUAAUACAAUGAUUUUUGAUCUAUUUAUAUAGAAAAACUUAUGUCCCUGGUUUGUGGCAUUUUCAAAAAGUAAGGCUGUUUCAUGGAAUUUAGCAUAUAAACAGAGAAGCAUAAAAAUAUUAAGUGUUGAACUGAAUGAAUUUUCUUAAAUUGAGUACAUUUAUGGUUCCAGAUCAAGAAAGGAGUAUUACUAGCACCUCAGAUGCCCCUCUUUCAGUCACUCCUUAUAUAACCACUAUCCUGACUUUGAACAUCACAAAUUAGUUGUGCUUAUAUUUAGAACUAUAAAUGGAAUCAUAUAGUUCAUUAGUAUUUUUUAAAAUACUAAUCUUUUAAAACAAAAACAGUGUCCUGGAAGAGUCUAGUUGUAUUCCACAUGUAAUUGCUAGACCACCAGAAUCACCUAUAGAUGUUUUAAAAUAUAUGUGUCUUGGGGCUGGGGAUGUGGCUCAAGUGGUAGUGCGCUCGCCUGGCAUGCGUGCGGCCCAGGUUCUAUCCUCAGCACCACAUACAAACAAAGAUGUUGUGUCCGCCGAAAACUAAAAAAGUAAAUAUUAAAAAAAUUCUCUCUCUCUCUCUCUCUCUCUCUCUCUCUCUCUAAUAAAGAAAAAAAUAUAUAUGUGUCAUUAAAGGAAAUGUGUAUAUCUGGUGCUGCUGGUGGUAAAGUAGGCACCUGAGCAUCAGAUAAAUGUGGGUCAUUCCUACUAUUAUGUCCUUGUUGGAAAUUUUUUUCAUAGUGUAUUGCACAUGUUAAGCUCUUGGUGUUUUUCUAGCAUAAAAUUAGUUUUUUAAAGAUUGGAAAUGAUUGAAGAAAAUUGUGGAGAAAGAUGCAAAGCAAAUGAGAAAUAUUAAUAUUAAUUAAUUUAGUAAAAAAGUCUAAAAUGAUAUAUAUGCUCUGACCCACUGUAUAUUACAAUUCUGUGUUGGAGGAAAAUCUUGUGAAGCUAAUUGGAAGGUUGAAAUUAACAUAUAAUGUAUUAUUAAUCUCUAAUUUAAAAUGAUGAAAAAAAUAGGUAUCUGGUAAUAUAUUAGAAUGCCUGAUUUUUAGGAAUGGAUUAUUGAUAGUGUUUUGAAUAUUCCUUGAAUAUCUGUGGUUUGAUGAAAGAGAGAAUUUGUACCUAUUUGAUUUUUUAUGGGAAAAACUCUAAACUCCUCCACCAAGCUGAAUUUUUAAGUUAUAUAAGUUAGGAUUUAAACAUUGACUGAUCUCAAUUUCUGUAUGUGUUGAGAUCUUUUAAGAUUGGAUGGGUUGGAUAGGGAUGUAAUUGAGACCUUAUAUGGUAGGACCUAAAAUGUUGUGUACUGUCUUUUUUUUCUUUUUUCUUUUCUUUUCUUUUUCUUUUUUUGGUGGUAGUGCUAGGGAUUGAACCCAUGGCUUGGAGCAUGGAAGGCAAGUGCUCUACCACUGAGCUACACCCCAGCCCCAGCCAUGCAUGUGCUGUCUUGACAUCUUUGUCAAGUUUUCAAAGGUUUAACCAUGAGUGCCCUGCUCACACCAGAUAUGCCCGUUUAACCAGUGGAAAAGUCUUCCUUCCUAGCUAGUUCCUCUAUCAGCUGGACAAGUUAUACCCCUUGUUGUCCUCAGAUUUCUCCUCCUGGCUGCCCAUGGAAUUAUUCAGACAAGCCAGUCACAUUCUCCUAUGGAACCAGAGAACACCUCAUCCUCUUUAAAAGCCUAGCUUCCUCCCAUUGCCCCUGUUGUUCUCUUUAUUUCUGAAUGUAACCCCUGUGGCCCUCUAUGAUGUGUGACAUCUUCCUUCAGACUAUGAGUAUAUAUGAAUAAUAAAUUGGAGUCAGUCUCAUCUGUCUAGCCUCUGCUUGUUUGUCU
rnacentral:lncRNA from 1 species